AACGAACGCUGGCGGCAGGCUUAACACAUGCAAGUCGAACGCCCCGCAAGGGGAGUGGCAGACGGGUGAGUAACGCGUGGGAAUCUACCCAGAUCUUCGGAACAACACAGGGAAACUUGUGCUAAUACCGGAUACGCCCUACGGGGAAAGAUUUAUCGGAUUUGGAUGAGCCCGCGUUGGAUUAGCUAGUUGGUGAGGUAAUGGCUCACCAAGGCUACGAUCCAUAGCUGGUCUGAGAGGAUGAUCAGCCACACUGGGACUGAGACACGGCCCAGACUCCUACGGGAGGCAGCAGUGGGGAAUAUUGGACAAUGGGCGAAAGCCUGAUCCAGCCAUGCCGCGUGAGUGAUGAAGGCCUUAGGGUUGUAAAGCUCUUUUAGUGGGGAAGAUAAUGACGGUACCCACAGAAGAAGCCCCGGCUAACUCCGUGCCAGCAGCCGCCGUAAAAC
rnacentral:rRNA from 1 species